CUUCCAGGGAUGUCUUCAUGUUCACAUUUUCCUUAUUAUGCUAUUUUCUUGGCAGUGUGCAUCCUCAGGCAUCCAGCCAUCUGACCAUGACCACAGGUUGACAGACACUGUCCUAUAAAGCUCUGGUUGCCCCAAAAAGGAGGUUGGACUAAAUUGAAUCUUCUGAUUCCAAUUUUAUGAACUGCAAUAAAAUCUCUCUAGGGUGCAGGAUUACAUCUGUGUUGAAGAAUGACUACAUUAAGACAAUUAUCAGACGCUCUUUAUGCUUCCAAAUUGGAGGCACUUUAUCUAUGCUGACACUAGGUGUACACAGUUUGAAAGGAAUAAAUGCACCCUCAGCCAGGGGAAAUGGAGAAACAAAAAGGCUGUACCUGGUGUAAGCCUUGCUGAUGGCAGAACAAGUGGGCCAAUUCUGUGUGUCACAGAAUUGCAGCGAUUCUGGUAGGAGAUUUUCACGACUUCAUAAGAACUUAAUAGUAAUCAAAGAGCUUUUCCUCCUUCUGUUAAAAAAGAAAAAGUAGGGGGCUGAGCGGAC
rnacentral:lncRNA from 1 species